AAUCAACGCUGGCGGCGUGCCUCAGACAUGCAAGUCGAACGCGAAAGUCCCCUUCGGGGGACGAAGUAGAGUGGCGCACGGGUGAGUAACACGUAGGUAAUCUACCUUCGGAUGGGGAAGUAACAACCGGAAACGGUUGCUAAUACCGCAUAAUGCAGCGGCACCUAAUGGUGACAGUUGUUAAAGCGGGGGAUUGAAAGACCUCGCGUCUGAAGAGGAGCCUGCGGCGGAUUAGCUAGNGGUAAGGUAACGGCUUACCAAGGCGACUAUCCGUAACCGGCCUGAGAGGGCGGUCGGUCACACUGACACUGACAUACGGGUCAGACUCCUACGGGAGGCAGCAGUCGGGAAUUUUGGGCAAUGGGCGAAAGCCU
rnacentral:rRNA from 1 species